rnacentral:rRNA from 1 species
CGACGCUGGCGGCGUGCCUAAUACAUGCAAGUCGAGCGGACCUCUUCAACUCUUCGGAGUUGAAGAGGUUAGCGGCGGACGGGUGAGUAACACGUGGGUAACCUGCCCUUAAGACUGGGAUAACAUUCGGAAACGGAUGCUAAUACCGGAUAUGCAAUAGCGUCGCAUGAAGCUAUUGGGAAAGGCGGAGCAAUCUGCCACUUAAGGAUGGACCCGCGGUGCAUUAGCUAGUUGGUGAGGUAAAGGCUCACCAAGGCGACGAUGCAUAGCCGACCUGAGAGGGUGAUCGGCCACACUGGGACUGAGACACGGCCCAGACUCCUACGGGAGGCAGCAGUAGGGAAUCUUCCGCAAUGGACGCAAGUCUGACGGAGCAACGCCGCGUGAGUGAUGAAGGUUUUUUCCGGAUCGUAAAGCUCUGUUGCCAGGGAAGAAUGCUUGUGAGAGUAACUGCUCACAAGGUGACGGUACCUGAGAAGAAAGCCCCGGCUAACUACGUGCCAGCCGCAGC